UACAGAGGUCUCGAGCGUUAGUCGGAAUCACCGGGCAUAAAGCGCGUGUAGGCGGCAUCGUAAGUCGGGUGUGAAAUCCCUCGGCCCAACCGAGGAAUUGCGCCCGAAACUACCUUGCUUGAGGACCAGAGGGGAGCCUGGAAUUCCUGGUGGAGCGGUGAAAUGCGUUGAUAUCAGGAGGAACACCGGCGGCGAAGGCGAGGCUCUGGCUGGUUACUGACGCUGAGACGCGAAAGCUAGGGGAGCAAAUGGG
rnacentral:rRNA from 1 species